UACGGAGGGUGCAAACGUUGCUCGGAAUCAUUGGGCGUAAAGCGCACGUAGGUGGCCUGUUAAGUCGGGUGUGAAAUCCCUGGGCUCAACCCAGGAAGUGCACUCGAAACUGGCAGGCUUGAGUACUGAAGAGGGUCGCGGAAUUCCCAGUGUAGAGGUGAAAUUCGUAGAUAUUGGGAAGAACACCGGUGGCGAAGGCGGCGACCUGGUCCAUUACUGACGCUGAGGCGCGACAGCGUGGGGAGCAAACAGG
rnacentral:rRNA from 1 species